GACGAACGCUGGCGGCGUGCUUAACACAUGCAGGUCGAACGGAAAGGCCCUGCUUUUGUGGGGUGCUCGAGUGGCGAACGGGUGAGUAACACGUGAGUAACCUGCCCUUGACUUUGGGAAAACUUAGGGAAACUGGGGCAAAACCCGGAAAGGAGCCCCGCCUGAUGGGGGGGGGUGGGAAAGUUUCGGCGGUGGGGGAUGGACUCGCGGCUUAUCAGCUUGUUGGUGGGGUAGUGGCUUACCAAGGCUUUGACGGGUAGCCGGCCUGAGAGGGUGACCGGCCACAUUGGGACUGAGAUACGGCCCAGACUCCUACGGGAGGCAGCAGUGGGGAAUAUUGCACAAUGGGCGGAAGCCUGAUGCAGCAACGCCGCGUGCGGGAUGACGGCCUUCGGGUUGUAAACCGCUUUCGCCUGUGACGAAGCGUGAGUGACGGUAAUGGGUAAAGAAGCACCGGCUAACUACGUG
rnacentral:rRNA from 1 species